rnacentral:rRNA from 1 species
UACGUAGGCAGCGAGCGUUGUUCGGAGUUACUGGGCGUAAAGAGUGCGUAGGCGGUGCUCUAAGUUUGGUGUGAAAUCUCCCGGCUCAACUGGGAGGGUGCGCCGAAAACUGGAGUGCUCGAGUAUGGGAGAGGUAAGCGGAAUUCCUGGUGUAGCGGUGAAAUGCGUAGAUAUCAGGAGGAACACCUGCGGUGUAGACGGCUUACUGGACCAUGACUGACGCUGAGGCACGAAAGCCAGGGGAGCAAACGGG